rfam:Capsicum annuum cultivar Zunla-1 chromosome 4, whole genome shotgun sequence
ACUUCAUGGUUAGUGCAUUGCAUGAACUUGUCAUUAAAGCGUUGCCACAUCUCAUAUAAGGGCUCACGACUAAGUUAACAAAAAUUUGUGAUUUAAUUUCUAAGUUU